UUAGAACUCUAUUCAAAUAUGAUCACUCGCUGAACUUAAGCAUAUCAGUAAGCGGAGGAAAAGAAACUAACGAGGAUCCCUUAGUAACGGCGAGUGAAAAAGGGC
rnacentral:rRNA from 1 species